rnacentral:lncRNA from 1 species
UAAUCAAACAGAGCCACCCUCCCGUUAACCUCUGCCCUGGUUUCAGAAUGUCUUUCACCUUUCCCCUCGUUGUUUUGACUCUUUAAAGCAGUCUGGAUUAUGUGUUGGUAGUAGUGGUGAGGGUGGAGGAUGGAGAGCUGACGGGGAGGAUUUGUUCCUGUGCAAAGUCCAGCUUUCCUCUCAAUCAGGUUGGGCAGAAUGAGAUCAGCAGACAAGUUCAGCUCUCAAUGAGGAGAGGGAAAGAGAUUUCCCCCACCCCCUGCCCGGGACAAAGGGCAGGGGAGUAGAGGUGCCUGUGGAGACCUGAAGAGGGUUCCAGAAGAAGACAUCGGAUCCCUGAUGUGAGUUUGGAGAACAAUAUUCCAGUCCUCUGCAAGAGCAGCAAGCACUUUUAACCACUGAGGUGUGGCUAUUAAUCCCAGCGAUCAAGAAUAAACCAUUUCCACAGUUUAAAGCCAAAUUCAAAGCAAGUUUUAAUUAAAUACUGGCCAGGUGGAUGGGCUCUGACCAGGGCCAUACCCAGAUUCCCAGGAAACGGCCCAGAAUCACAGUUUGUAGCGGCUUAAGAAGGGAAACCCAUCAGGUCCAAUCAGGGGCAAGCAUACCUCCUGAUAUACCUCCAUCUUGUGAGCCCCAACCCCAGCGGGCCCACAUGUGAUCAAGCACAGGGGUGCAGAUUGGUCAACAAACUUGUUUAGGGGGGUGAAGACAUGUGACUUGUUAUUUCUCCCUUAAACAACAGCCUCCAGCAUUUCAGGAACUAGCUGUCCUUGGGUAAGAAGCCUGAAGAUCAGGAGCAUUUUGUUCCAUGGAGUAGGCAUAGUAAUUAAAACUUAAACUAGAGUCUCCAGACAAAGGGAAGGCACCAAAAAGCACAGUUCGGCAUUCUUGUUGGCUACUACAACUUGCUCCCCUGAAGUUCCCACCUAAAGUGUUAAGCUUUUGACCAUACUUGGGCACAAACCCAGCUUGUGGCAGACUCGUCAUCACCCC